rnacentral:rRNA from 1 species
CCCUUAGACGUUCUGGGCCGCACGCGCGCUACACUGACGAAGGCAACGAGCUUUCCUUUACCGAAAGGUAUGGGUAAUCUUUUGAAACUGUGUCGUGCUGGGGAUAGAUCCUUGCAAUUUUUGAUCUUAAACGAGGAAUUCCUAGUAAGCGCGAGUCAUCAACUCGCGUUGAUUACGUCCCUGCCCUUUGUACACACCGCCCGUCGCUACUACCGAUUGAAUGGCUUAGUGAGGCCUCAGGAUCCGCGCUUAAUGUGUGGAGAAUUUGGACAAACUACGUCAUUUAGAGGAAGUAAAAGUCGUAACA